rnacentral:tRNA from 1 species
GGAAGUUUAGCUCAGUUGGGAGAGCAUCUGCCUUACAAGCAGGAGGUCACAGGUUCGAGCCCUGUAACUUCCACCA